rnacentral:tRNA from 1 species
GGGUCUAUAGCAUAACGGCCAGUGCAUCCGGCUCUUACCCGGAGUUGUCCAGGUUCGAAUCCUGGUGGACCUA